AGAGUCACCACCAUUUUCACCUCGAACCCUCCUGUCUAAAUUGCUCUUAAGGUGAAGUAUGGGCUCCCGGCUGUCUUUGAAAUGCCAUUUCUAAUACGUGGGGAUGCUCUGUGACCUAAAAAGCCCCCUCACAAGUAAGGACUAGCUUAACACCCUGAGAGCAGAGAGGGGCCUCUCGGCGACACCCUGGUGAUGAGGAAUGCCAGAACUGCUUUGAGGAGCAGAGGAAAGGUCUCUGCUGUCACAGGCCGAGCAACUGACUGCCCUUUUCUGCACAACCAGCCGCCUCAACACGCAGGAGGAACCCAAGGAAAUGGACAAAGGAAGUGAAUCAAGGAGGAUGCAUACGAAGUACCAGUGUUCCAGUGCCAAGUCUCCCCCUCAGGACAAGUCCAGGCUCGCCUGCUGGCAGAUGAGUGACUUCCUAGCACCGAGCUCCAUCAGCAGUUGUCCCUACUGAAGCCCGCAAUGCCCAAGAGAGCUCAGCCAAGGGCGGUAAAGGCACCUCACCCACCUGCAGCGGACUGCAGACGCGAGUAAGCCCACAGGAGCCCAUCUCCGAUCAGUAGAACUGCUAGGCCAACCUAGAGGCUCCUAAGCAGAAAUCAAUGUUUAUUACUCUAUGCCACUGAUACGGGUGUUUUUUGGAUUAUACAUCAUCACUGUGGUGACAGAUAACUGGUACAGGGUCACAAAGAAGAGACUACAGGCUGAACCUCUGGCUUUUGAAUCCAGGGCCCUUCCCCCCAUACUACACUUAACCUCAGGUCUGGGUUUAUUAGCUCUUGCCUGUGUGUCUGCUAAUAUAAUCUUAGUGGGCUUAUAUCUCCUGCAGUUGCUUAUAAUUCUAAGGUAAUUGUUUGGUUUUCCUCGAGAAGCAGACCAAGAAGGAACUAUCCAUACGCUUAGGGUUUCAAACGUGCCUUGCUCAUUUUCUGUCCACAGCCAGAGUGGCUGCGAGAGCCACGGGCCCCGCUCUAUCAUUUGUUGCUCAAUAUCCCCAACUAGUUUGUGGCUGAGCCAUUAAAAUAUGUUAUUUACAUGUAUUUUAAUGGAUCUUUGAUGCAUUAUUCAAAGACUUUAUGCACAAUAAUCACCUAUAUUUUUAUAUCUUUUUUUUGUUUCAUGAAACCUUCAAAGGAGAAGAAAUAUAAAAUGUGGGUUGUAAUUACCUAAGGGUAGCUGUAAACGCAUCUCAUCUUUCUAAGGAUGUGUUGUGAAGAAAGAAUGUGAGAACAAUUGUGGUUUGGGUGAGCUCCCGAUGUCCUGAAUGUGUGAUGGGUCCCUGCAGAGUGUGCUGAGGUGGGUUAAAGUGAGGUGUUGCUACCCCUUUGAUAAAAGACUUUUCCCAUCCCCAAACCCUGACCCCCCUCCUCUUCUGCUACCCAAUAUUUGUUAUUGUGGAUAUACUACUCUAAAAUGCUAUUUCUUAUUUUACUUGAGUGGGAUUGUGUUCAUUUCUUUUGCUAAGCGGUGUGUAAUGCAUGGGAUGAUCAUUUAUUGGACUUUUAGAAAAGACUGGUAUUUACAUAACAGGUGUGAAUAUUGCUGGUCCAGCAUAUAUCAUCACAGACACACACAAAAGUACUAUAAACGAUUUUUAUACUAAAGAAGGGAUGUUUAACUGUUCACUCAUUCACUCAUUCAUCUGAGGAUCAGGGAAUACCUUCUCUGCAAACUCCAUGGCACCAACAGGCUGGUGCUGAGUAGCUGCUGUCCGUUUUGGCCAGGGCAUAACAGUUUCUAAUUUGCUACGGUCCCUGCUACUCCCUAUUGCCUUGUAUCUGGGCUUCUUCACUCAUUUAUGUUUCUUGCUGACCCCUGAAGGCAUUUUAUAGUUCAUGACCCCUCUGUUAAGUGGGUGGAUAGUUAGUAGUUGAACCAAGAACAGAAAUCUGGUUUUUUAACGGGUACCAAGUCUUCCAACAGGUACCAAGUGCUUGGAUCAUUAAAUCAUAAUGUACAAACAGAAACGUGGAAUACACAGAGCAUUGGAAGAGAACUCGAAAAACACGUAGUAGAUACUAUCAUCUAUCUAUCUAUCUAUCUAUCUAUCUAUCUAUCUAUCUAUCUAUCAUCUAUCUAUCUAUCUAUCAUCUAUCUAUCUAUCAUCUAUCUAUCCAUCCAUCCAUCCAUCCCUAUACUCCCUAUAUGAGAAAAGAAUACUUUUAUGACCUGGACAUCCAUUAGUAAAUAAGGUGUUAACCAAGAAGGGUGACUGAGCAGGGAACUGCAGAAGAAAGGUCUUAGGAAAUCGGAGCAGGGCGGGGGGCGGGGGAGAUAAAGGCAGGAGAGAUGGGAAAGCCCACCCUCUGGCAGGCAUAUGCCCAGAGAAGUUCAUGGUAGCUCCAAAUUCCAUGCCGCAGAGAGGACUGGGGACAAGAGGGGACACCAUGUCUCUUUAUGUCCCAUCCUGACCCCACAUCUUACAGGACUCAGGCAUCGGGCUUCCUCUGUGAAAGCUGAGGAAGGCAGCUCCAAAGGUGGCUGGGGUGUGAGAGGUCCUCUUUAGGUUUUUUUUCUCCUAAUCCUGCACAUAAUCUCUUUUUCUGCUUCCUUUUCUCAGGCUAGUUCUGGGCCUUCCAUCUGUACAUGUUUGCAUGAUGGCUGGAGGGCAUCCAACACCACACAGCCACAGAAUCUUCUCACCACGUAAGAAACUGAUAGAAAAGGGGAAGAGGCAUUCAUCAGCUUUUCUUUGGUGAAGCAUCACAGCCCCUGUAUCCUCACCCGAUUCUCCUAAGAGCUAUAAAUACUUGCAUUCCCCGGACAGCUGUUGGUUCUAAUUUCACAUCAGUGUCCAGUUUCUUCACUAAUGACCACUUACAUGUAAUUAAACUUGGAAUUAUACGAUCUUAAUGUUGAAAAAAAUGAUUUCACCUGAAAUAUUUUCUACCAUGAACUGAAGACCAGAAUGAGGCUCCUUGUGAUAUUGGAAUGACGAUGGAAUAAAACAGUCAUCUCUCUUAGGUACCAAAUGUGGUCUACUUUCAUCUUAAUCAAAACCAAAUGAUUUCUAAGCAAUUUACAUUCUGAAAUAAAAAGUUACUUUUUUUUUUUUUUUUUUGAGAGGGAGAGGAAGAGAGAAAAUGCUA